rnacentral:rRNA from 1 species
UGAAUACGAGAUGCUACGGCGUCGAAGCAGUCUAUGUCAUACUUCCAAGAAAAGCUUGCACUGUCAUAAACAAAUAAUGCCUGUACCAUAACCGACACAGGUGGGUAGGUAGAGUAUACUAAGGGGCGCGAGAUAACUCUCUCUAAGGAACUCGGCAAAAUGACUCCGUAACUUCGGGAGAAGGAGUGCCUUAUUUAUAAGGUUGCAAUAACAAGAUCCAAGCAACUGUUUACCAAAAACACAGGUCUCCGCUAAGUCGUAAGACGAUGUAUGGGGGCUGACGCCUGCCCAGUGCCAGAAGGUUAAAGAAGUUGGUUAGCAUCCGCGAAGCUGAUAACUGAAGCCCUGGUGAACGGCGGCCGUAACAAUAACGGUCCUAAGGUAGCGAAAUUCCUUGUCGGGUAAGUUCCGACCCGCACGAAAGGCGUAAUGAUUUGGAUACUGUCUCGGAGGGGGGCUCGGUGAAAUAGACUUGUCUGUGAAGAUGCGGACUACCUGCACCAGGACAGAAAGACCCUAUGAAGCUUUACUGUAACCUGAAAUUGAAAUUGGACUUUACUUGCGCAGUAUAGGUGGGAGGCGUUGAGAAUAUUCUUGCGGGAUUAUUGGAGCCAUCAGUGAGAUACCACUCUUGUAAUGUUAGAUUUCUAACUUUGUAUCAUUAUCUGGUCAAAGAACAGUUUCAGGCGGGCAGUUUGACUGGGGCGGUCGCCUCCUAAACGGUAACGGAGGCGCACAAAGGUUUCCUCUGAACGGGUAGAAAUCGUAUCUAGAGUGUAAAGGCAUAAGGAAGCUUGACUGUGAGACCUACAAGUCGAGCAGGGACGAAAGUCGGUCUUAGUGAUCUGACGGUGCUGAGUGGAAAGGCCGUCACUCAACGGAUAAAAGUUACUCUAGGAUAACAGGCUGAUCUCCCCCAAGAGUUCACAUCGACGGGGAGGUUUGGCACCUCGAUGUCGGCUCAUCGCAUCCUGGGGCGGUAGUACGUCCCAAGGGUUGGGCUGUUCGCCCAUGAAAGCGGUACGCGAGCUGGGUUCAGAACGUCGUGAGACAGUUCGGUCCAUAUCCGGUGUAGGCGUUAGAAUAUUGAGAGGAGCCUUCUUUAGUACGAGAGGACCGAGAAGGACAUACCUCUGGUGUACCAGUUAUCGUGCCAACGGUAAACGCUGGGUAGCUAUGUGUGGAGUGGAUAACCGCUGAAAGCAUCUAAGUGGGAAGCCCACCUCAAGAUAAGUAUUCUCAU